UGUCCGCCUGGGUACUACGAGCCGUAGCUUAAAACCCAAAGGACUUGGCGGUGCUUGAGAUCCAUCUAGAGGAGCCUGUUCUAGAAUCGAUAAUCCCCGUUAAACCUCACCUCUUCUUGCUUAACGCAGCCUGUAUACUUCCGUCUUCAGCCUACCCUGUGAAGGGUUUAUAGUAGGCAUAAUCGGUUCCCCCCAAAACGUCAGGUCAAGGUGCAGCAUAUGAAAAGGAAUGAAAUGGGCUACAUUCUCUAUUUAAGAGUACACGGAAGAAAAACUGAAUAACUUUUCUAAAGGAGAAUUUAGUUGUAAGGAGUGAAUAGAGCGCACUCCUGAAAUUGGAUAUAUGGCGCGUACACACCGCCCG
rnacentral:rRNA from 1 species